rnacentral:ncRNA from 2 species
UACAAUCACCGCGUCCCAGGUGCUCGGGAAGCCGGUGAGACUCCGGCGCUGCCCCCGCAACGGUAAGCCAGGACACUCCUUCAUCACGCCACUGGGUUCGCCUGGGAAGGCGAAGGAUCCGACGUCAGCCCAUCGACGUCCCUGGCAAGUCCGGAGACCGGCCUGGAACACAGCGGCGUU